rnacentral:rRNA from 1 species
AUACGGAGGGGGCUAGCGUUGUUCGGAAUUACUGGGCGUAAAGGGCGCGUAGGCGGAUUAUCAAGUCAGAGGUGAAAGCCCUGGGCUCAACCCGGGAACUGCCUUUGAAACUAACAGUCUUGAGUCCGAGAGAGGAUGGCGGAAUUCCCAGUGUAGAGGUGAAAUUCGUAGAUAUUGGGAAGAACACCAGUGGCGAAGGCGGCCAUCUGGCUCGGUACUGACGCUGAGGCGCGAAAGCGUGGGGAGCAAACAGGAUUAGAAACCCCGGUAGUCC